GCAGUCGGCCGGUCUGUCGCUCACGAAAUAAACGAACGAACUGUAACAAGUGAGAGGAAAGUCCGGGCAACACAGGGCACCAUCCUUCCUAACGGGAAGCUGUCGGCGACGGCAGAGCAAGCGUAACAGAAAAGAACCGCCGGACAUGGUUCGGUAAGGGUGAAAAGGCGAGGUAAGAGCUCACCGCCCCUGUCGGAAUACGGGGGGCAGUACGUCUGAUGGGUUGUAAGGUCAUGUAUACCGGCGCAUGAAGGGCGGCCCGCCCGAUAGCCGGGGGGUAGACUGCACAGAGCUUGUCGGCAACGGCAAUGCCAAGAUGAAUGACAGACGCCCUCACGCUCGUGGGGGUACAGAACCCGGCUUACAGGCCGACUGCCCUU
rnacentral:RNase_P_RNA from 1 species